UAAGUGAAAGUCAGGGAUGUGGU
rnacentral:piRNA from 1 species